rnacentral:rRNA from 1 species
ACUCCUACGGGAGGCAGCAGUGGGGAAUUUUGGACAAUGGGCGAAAGCCUGAUCCAGCCAUGCCGCGUGCAGGAUGAAGGCCUUCGGGUUGUAAACUGCUUUUGUACGGAACGAAACGGCCUUUUCUAAUAAAGAGGGCUAAUGACGGUACCGUAAGAAUAAGCACCGGCUAACUACGUGCCAGCAGCCGCGGUAAUACGUAGGGUGCAAGCGUUAAUCGGAAUUACUGGGCGUAAAGCGUGCGCAGGCGGUUAUGUAAGACAGUUGUGAAAUCCCCGGGCUCAACCUGGGAACUGCAUCUGUGACUGCAUAGCUAGAGUACGGUAGAGGGGGAUGGAAUUCCGCGUGUAGCAGUGAAAUGCGUAGAUAUGCGGAGGAACACCGAUGGCGAAGGCAAUCCCCCGGACCUGUACUGACGCUCAUGCACGAAAGCGUGGGGAGCAAACAGGAUUAGAAACCCGGGUAGUCCCAUGAU